rnacentral:rRNA from 1 species
GACGAACGCUGGCGGCGUGCCUAAUACAUGCAAGUAGAACGCUGAAGAGAGGAGCUUGCUCUUCUUGGAUGAGUUGCGAACGGGUGAGUAACGCGUAGGUAACCUGCCUUGUAGCGGGGGAUAACUAUUGGAAACGAUAGCUAAUACCGCAUAACAAUGGAUGACACAUGUCAUUUAUUUGAAAGGGGCAAUUGCUCCACUACAAGAUGGACCUGCGUUGUAUUAGCUAGUAGGUGAGGUAGUGGCUCACCUAGGCGACGAUACAUAGCCGACCUGAGAGGGUGAUCGGCCACACUGGGACUGGGACACGGCCCAGACUCCUACGGGAGGCAGCAGUAGGGAAUCUUCGGCAGUGGGGGCAACCCUGACCGAGCAACGCCGCGUGAGUGAAGAAGGUUUUCGGAUCGUAAAGCUCUGUUGUAAGUCAAGAACGGGUGUGAGAGUGGAAAGUUCUCACUGUGACGGUAGCUUACCAGAAAGGGACGGCUAACUACGUG